rnacentral:rRNA from 1 species
GACGAACGCUGGCGGCGUGCUUAACACAUGCAAGUCGAACGGAAAGGCCCUGCUUUUGUGGGGUGCUCGAGUGGCGAACGGGUGAGUAACACGUGAGUAACCUGCCCUUGACUUUGGGAUAACUUCAGGAAACUGGGGCUAAUACCGGAUAGGAGCUCCUGCUGCAUGGUGGGGGUUGGAAAGUUUCGGCGGUUGGGGAUGGACUCGCGGCCUAUCAGCUUGUUGGUGGGGUAGUGGCUUACCAAGGCUUUGACGGGUAGCCGGCCUGAGAGGGUGACCGGCCACAUUGGGACUGAGAUACGGCCCAGACUCCUACGGGAGGCAGCAGUGGGGAAUAUUGCACAAUGGGCGGAAGCCUGAUGCAGCAACGCCGCGGGCGGGAUGACGGCCUUCGGGUUGUAAACCGCUUUCGCCUGUGACGAAGCGUGAGUGACGGUAAUGGGUAAAGAAGCACCGGCUAACUACGUG